rnacentral:rRNA from 1 species
CUAUGCGCCUUCGCCAGCCCGCUCAGAAACUUAAAGAAGUUGACGGGCCCCGCACAAGCAGCGGAGCGUGUGGUUUAAUUCGAUGCUACACGAAGAACCUUACCAGGGUUUGACAUACAAGUAGUAGGGAAAGGAAACUGGACCGACCCUUCGGGGAGCUUGAACAGGUGCUGCAUGGCUGUCGUCAGCUCGUGUCGUGAGAUGUUCGGUUAAGUCCGCUAACGAGCGCAACCCUCGCUGUGUGUUACAAGUGUCACACGGAACUGCCGGUCAUAAACCGGAGGAAGGUGGGGAUGACGUCAAGUCAGCAUGGCCUUUAUAUCCUGGGCUACACACACGCUACAAUGGGAAGGGACAAUAGGUUGCGAAACCGCGAGGUGGAGCCAAUCCAGCAAAACUUCCCUCAGUUCAGAUUGCAGGCUGCAACUCGCCUGCAUGAAGUUGGAGUUGCUAGUAAACGCAGGUCAGCCAUACUGCGUUGAAUACGUUCCCGGGGCUU